AAUAGAUACCCCGGUAGUCCACGCCGUAAACGAUGAGUGCUAAGUGUUGGGAGGGUUUCCGCCCUUCAGUGCUGCAGCUAACGCAUUAAGCACUCCGCCUGGGGGAGUACGACCGCAAGGUUGAAAACUCAAAGGAAGUUGACGGGGGGCCCGCACAAGCGGUGGAGCAUGUGGUUUAAUUCGAAGCAACGCGAAGAACCUUACCAGGUCUUGACAUCCUUUGACCACUCUAGAGAUAGAGCUUCCCCUUCGGGGGGCAAAGUGACAGGUGGUGCAUGGUUGUCGUCAGCUCGUGUCGUGAGAUGUUGGGUUAAGUCCCGCAACGAGCGCAACCCUUAUUGUUAGUUGCCAUCAUUCAGUUGGGGCACUCUAGCAAGACUGCCGGUGACAAACCGGAGGAAGGUGGGGGAUGACGUCAAAUCAUCAUGCCCCUUAUGACUUGGGCUACACACGUGCUACAAUGGGAAGUACAACGAGUUGCGAAGUCGCGAGGCUAAGCUAAUCUCUUAAACGCUUCUCUCAGUUCGGAUUGCAGG
rnacentral:rRNA from 1 species